ensembl:snoRNA small nucleolar RNA SNORA9
CGGCAGACCUUUCCAACAAGACUGAGCCUGCGGUGGUUCUGUCCGUUCCUGUAGUGUCUGCUAGAAAAUGUGAGGCUGUUUGAGGCCAUGCUGUGAUUCUUCAUAGCAGGGUUAUAGGUACGCUUCAGACAAAC